GGUUGGUUGCUGGAAAACCCGAGACUGCUCAAGUUGAUGGACUAUUGAGGAUAACUCCUAGGAUGGAUUGACAUGCAACACCUUCCUCUGAGGAGGACUUGGUGCUGAGCCCCAAUUCCUGUUCCCUCCCUUUUAUGAAGAAUGCCUCUAAUCUGCAAGGGGUAUGGUCCCCAAAGUGGGCAGCAGGAUGGUGGUGGUGGGAUUUGCAAGAGGCAGCUUGACCCUUCCACGAUAGCCUUCAGCCUUUGAUUUGAAGCAGUGGUUCCCAGUCAUGGGUCAUGACACACAGUUGCCGAUGGCGUCAUCAAUAUUUGCAGUAUAUGACUAACCACACAGAACAGCACUGUGUGGGAAGUUCCCCACUACUCGUCCUGUGAAUAAACAUCAUGAUUUGCGACAAGGACAAUGGGAAAAUGGCAAUGGAGAAAACCAGAGAAACAGAUCCGCUAUAAGAGGGAGCUGUGGAAAGACUGAAAGCAAGGCUGCAUUUAUAUACACAGUUACUCAACAAUACAAAAAGA